CUCAUUUAUUAUUAUUUUUUUUUUUUGGCUGCACUGGGUCUUAGUUGGCACACGAGGAAUCUUUGUUGCUGCAUGUGAGAUCUAGUUCCCUGACCAGGGAUCAAACCCAGGCCCCCCUGCGUUGAGAGUGCAGAAUCUCAACUGCUGGGCCACUGGGGAAGUCCCACACCUGCCCUUCUUUUCCCCCCGUGGCCCCAAGGGACCAAUGUCCUCUGCUGAUCAUAGAAAACAGUUAUACUCAAGUUAUCCCUCAUCUGUUUCAAACAGGAGAUACUAAAAAAUGAGACGUUUAGCCGCAGACUUUUCUAAGACAGUAACCUGCCCUCUGCAUUGCUGCUAACAGGCAGGGUAGUGUCUCGACUGGCUGAAGAGCAGGGUUUCCGAAGUGGGUUUUCUGAUGCUGAAUGUGUCUGCUGCUCUGUUCUCUGAGCAGGGAGGCCAUUCUGUGUUUGGGGUUCAGGAUAGCUCUCUUCCUGGGAGUGCAGGGCAGGGAGCCCUGGAAAUUGUUCCGGGUUUGUUCUCACGGUCUAAGAGCAGUGAGCGGCGGGGUGCGACAAGGCCACUGGAGUGUCUUUUCCCGCGAGCUGUCACUUUGUGGCCGCCUUGCCUCGGUGAGCUCGUGGGUGCGGUGCCCCGUGGUGUCAUUUCUCUUCCCUGGCCCCGGACUUGCUCCAGAGCUGGCCGAUUUGGUCGCUCUUUCCCAUUUGGUAUGCGGUCCUUCCUCGAGCUCUGAGGAUGCUGUCAGCCCCGAGGAGAGUCAUUGAGUGAUAUUCAUCAGAAGCCCCUGAGGACUUCCUCAUACCACUUGGCACCAUGGUGCCAGGUUUCCUGGAAAUGCCCCAGAGGAGUGCCCCGGCCGUGGCGACAGCCUCUGGUCUGCUGGCUUGCCCGCUGUCUCUCCCAGAGCGUGUCGCUUCCUGGGGUGGCUGCCCCCGAGUGCAGAGCCCCCAGGCCAGCUUGCACUGUGGCUCUAGCAUGCUGUCACCCAGGAGCACAGGAACCAUGGCCCCUGGCCCUGCCACGUGCCAGCUGGGGCUGCCCCAGCCUGAUCGGCGUCCACAGCCAGGGUACAAGUCCAGGGUCCCCUGGGACCCUGCGCCCAGCUCUCCCAAAGAGGCUGGGGGAGGCCCCCGCCUGGUGGGGGCCCUUUCUCAGGCGGCGACUGGACAUUUUCUUGCCGCUGGCUUGGUUGGGACUCAGGGCGUGCUGCUUCUCAGCUUCUUCUGUCCUCGAUUUCCUCACCAUCAAGAUGAGCAUGUUUGCUCUUGA
rnacentral:lncRNA from 1 species